ensembl:lncRNA
UAACGACACCAGUCAGUAGCCGAGAUGACCCAGGUGCGAAGGUCGGUGGGAGAGGCGCUGUGGGGAAUGUGUGCCGCUGACGCCAUGUCCAUGCCUGCGCACUGGUACUACAACAUCGAUGACAUCAAGAGAGAUUUUGGAGGAUGGAUCACCGGCUUCAACGCUCCCAACAAAAGACACCCGUCCAGCAUCCUCACCCUCUCCAACUCAGCGGGGAGCGGUCGCACUGCAUGGUCCUCUGGUGGGAACAGACCCCAUGUUGUGGGUAGCGUAAUCCUCCAUAACAAGCUCAAGUUCUGGAAGGCAUCAGGUGGAUCAGUCCACUAUCACCAAGGUCUCCAAGCAGGUGAGAAUACCCUGAAUGCCAUCUGCUCCCUGAGGGUGGCACAGGCCCUGACAGGGGGGAAGUUUGCCAGCGUGGCAGAACCAGUGGCGAGGGGGGCGGUGCUGGCUGAUUACGUACACUUCAUGACCACGCCAGGAACACAUGGAGACACCUACGCAGAGUCCUUCCACAGAGCAUUCUUCUCCGACUGGCAAGACCCCAGACCCACUUCCUCCAGCAAGGUGUUGAAGUUUGCAGAGCAGCGCUACCAGCAGAAGAUGAACAUGUCAGUCCCUGACAGCCAGCUAGACGCUAUUAGCUGCCUCCCCAUGGCCAUCCCCUUUGUGCUUCUCUCUGCCACAGCCAAUGAGGACCAAGCUGUGUCUGCAGCGGUAGAGUUUGUCCGGCUCACCCACCCCCACCCCAAGGUGGAGAAAUAUGUGACGCUGUACGCCCGAGCCCUCCAUGCCACUCUGAAUGGGGCGUGUCUGAAGCAGCAAGCGGAGGCCGCCCUCAAGUCACCCGACCUGGACGCAUGGGACACUUGCAAGCCCUACAUACAGAAAGCAGCCAGGUUUCCAACCUCUUCUGCAGAGGGGCUCACGGUUCACCAGAGUGCAGUGGAAAUGCUUGGCAUGGCCUGCUACACCCGAGGUGCCCUCAGUAGUAUGUUCUACCUAGCACAUGAGUUUCACAACGACCCUCAUGGAGGGAUCCUGGCAAACACCAAUUGUGGCGGAGAGAACUGCAACAGGGGUUCUGCUUUGGGGGCUCUGCUGGGGGCGAGGGCAGGGUACACGGGUGGAUCUGUACCCCAGGAGUGGAAGGAUGGAUUGAGGAACACACAGGAACCCAUCCAUGAAAUAGUAAAGAUGCUCCGAGACUGCCCCCUAUAGGACUUAAAGCCAGCAUCAGAGCACUGACACACAUACCUUACCUCCGUUUGGUUGGUGUAACUCAUAACAACAUCUGUGUACAUAUGUUUGUUGAUUUUGAGCCUUUUAUUGGCCUUGGUAUUCACAUGCUGCCCGUUGUAUGCACAAAAAGAUACCUUACAAUGAAAAAGAUUACUAUGCACAGAUAAUUACCUUUUACCUAAUUUGACUCUUAAGGCCUUCCAGGUUUACUCCCCAGCCGAAAGCUCAGCUAUCUCUCUCGACCAUACAUCAAGUAACUAUUCUCAGCUGUGUCUCCAUUAAAUAUAUUUUAGAGAUCAGUUGGAGUUUACACACUAAAGGCGUCCGCAUACAUAGGUUCGGUUUGCUCCUAGCAGAACUCGCCAGGCGAAGUGAACGUCUGUGCUCACAUACUCCCUUAAAAUUACCUCAUUUGAAAAAUUAGAAAGAAGUGGAAAUAUUACUGUUUGUACCUCUUGAGACGCCAUAGUCCGUACACUCACUUCCUCAAAAUACUCUCAAUUAAUCUGUAAAUAAUUUAGCGUUUUUUCUGAGGAGGUCUUAGUUGCGCAAAUUUACAUCUAAGAUUUUUGGUGCAGUAUUUCUAAACAUCUGCAUGAAAACUAGUAAUCUCUCGUUGAAUGACAACAAGCACUUCAUUGCAGAUCCCCUAUUGUUGACCAAUCACCGAAGAUGGGGCGUAGACUUUGGCUACGGAACUUUGACAAUCCUCAAGAAAAACAUGUGUGAUGAACAGCCCGGGGGGAAGACCCUGCCGAACGCUGCCGAACACCUAAAACGUCACAGAAUUUCAUCCUAAAAUAUGCGGGAUCUUUUUCGACUUUGAAUCAUACCGUAAGCUUUAAACUCAUAUCGAGUUUGAGUGGAAGAAGAAAAAGUUAACCUAGUUUAAAGUACAUUUGAUCAUAUACAUUGAUUGCAGAAGCAGGCAGACAGUAGCCUGCAACAUUUCUACAUUCCUUGUUUCCAAGUUAUGCGAAGGGAAACAUUGUGAAUUAAUUAUGGCAGUUCAAUGGUAACUUAUUUUAUCAGUCUUAUUUUCAUUUGGAUAUAACCUAGUGAAGUUAUUUGAAAGGUAAUAUGCCCUGCAGAAUUGUGUUUUAAAGUUGAAUAAAAGCAUUUAUGCUGGUCGAUUAUGCGCACAAACAAUAGUAUACACUGUUACAAUCUUAUGUACUGUAAUUAAGGUGUGAAAACAUUAAUUAUCUAACAUCUACAGUACAUGCUGCUUUUCAUAUGGAUCUUGUUUAUUAUCUAUAUAUUUUUAUAUCCUUCAGGCCCAAUAAAUGGUGUCUCAUUACCAAAUCUAACCACUGUCAACAACUGUCCUUCAGGCCCAAUAAAUGGUGUCUCAUUACAAAAUCUAACCACUGUCAACAACUGUCCUUCAGGCCCAAUAAAUGGUGUCUCAUUACCAAAUCUAACCACUGUCAACAACUGUUAUUGUCCUGUCUUCUUCA